rnacentral:lncRNA from 1 species
UAAAUUCUUCUGGUUGUUUUUUAUUAUCCCUCACUUCCAGAUUUACCUCUAUGACAUGGUCAUGAUUUGUUGCCUUCUCUUCUUCAUCUUUAGAAACUUUAUGACUUCUUGUUGUGACAGCAUUAACAUUCUUAUGAUGUCUUGGAUUUUGUAUUGUUGCACUCAGAAGGGUGCCUUGAGCUUGAUUUGUGAGUUGUUG